GUCACAGUUCUACCAUCGGUCUAAAGCAUCGAAUACACGUACAACCAACUGGCUCGAGAUUUCACAGUUCUUGCCGCCUCCUUGUAACAUGUAAACAGUAGCGUGGCGCGUUAUGCGACACGCUCUUAUGCUUGGCAGUCUGUAACAUUAUUAUAUAUUUAAGAGCAAAUGUUUCGUGGAAUUCUCUUACGUGAAUAUGAGCUUCCAUUAUAUGAACCAACAGUCAUAAGUGGUGGGAAUAAGUGGACUCCUAUUAUAUGAACGACCUGGU
rnacentral:misc_RNA from 1 species